UGGGGAAUUUUGGACAAUGGGCGCAAGCCUGAUCCAGCAAUGCCGCGUGAGUGAAGAAGGCCUUCGGGUUGUAAAGCUCUUUUGUCAGGGAAGAAACGGUUCCGGCUAAUAUCCGGGGCUAAUGACGGUACCUGAAGAAUAAGCACCGGCUAACUACGUGCCAGCAGCCGCGGUAAUACGUAGGGUGCAAGCGUUAAUCGGAAUUACUGGGCGUAAAGCGUGCGCAGGCGGUUUUGUAAGUCUGUCGUGAAAGCCCCGGGCUCAACCUGGGAAUUGCGAUGGAGACUGCAAGGCUUGAAUCUGGCAGAGGGGGGUAGAAUUCCACGUGUAGCAGUGAAAUGCGUAGAGAUGUGGAGGAACACCGAUGGCGAAGGCAGCCCCCUGGGUCAAGAUUGACGCUCAUGCACGAAAGCGUGGGGAGCAAACA
rnacentral:rRNA from 1 species